UGGGGGAUAUUGCACAAUGGGCGAAAGCCUGAUGCAGCGACGCCGCGUGGGGGAUGAAGGCUUUCGGAUUGUAAACCUCUUUCGCUAUCGAACAAGGCCCGCUUAGGGUGGGUUGAGGGUAGGUGGAGAAGAAGCGCCGGCUAACUACGUGCCAGCAGCCGCGGUAAUACGUAGGGCGCGAGCGUUGUCCGGAAUUAUUGGGCGUAAAGGGCUUGUAGGCGGCUUGUUGCGCCUGCUGUGAAAACGCGGGGCUUAACUUCGCGCGUGCAGUGGGUACGGGCAGGCUUGAGUGUGGUAGGGGUGACUGGAAUUCCAGGUGUAGCGGUGGAAUGCGCAGAUAUCUGGAGGAACACCGAUGGCGAAGGCAGGUCACUGGGCCAUUACUGACGCUGAGGAGCGAAAGCAUGGGUAGCGAACAGG
rnacentral:rRNA from 1 species